AUUGAACGCUGGCGGCAUGCCUUACACAUGCAAGUCGAACGGCAGCACGGGAGCGAUCCUGGUGGCGAGUGGCGAACGGGUGAGUAAUGCCUAGGAAUCUGCCUGUUAGUGGGGGAUAACGCGGGGAAACUCGCGCUAAUACCGCAUACGUCCUACGGGAGAAAGCGGGGGCUCUUCGGACCUCGCGCUAACAGAUGAGCCUAGGUCGGAUUAGCUAGUUGGUGGGGUAAUGGCCCACCAAGGCGACGAUCCGUAACUGGUCUGAGAGGAUGAUCAGUCACACUGGAACUGAGACACGGUCCAGACUCCUACGGGAGGCAGCAGUGGGGAAUAUUGGACAAUGGGCGAAAGCCUGAUCCAGCCAUGCCGCGUGUGUGAAGAAGGUCUUCGGAUUGUAAAGCACUUUAAGUCGGGAGGAAGGGCUGUAGGCUAAUACCUUGCAGUUUUGACGUUACCGACAGAAUAAGCACCGGCUAACUUCGUGCCAGCCGCCGCAGUAA
rnacentral:rRNA from 1 species